GAUGAACGCUGGCGGCGUGCCUAAUACAUGCAAGUCGAACGCUGGAGAUCUAGCUUGCUAGAUCGAAGGAGUGGCGAACGGGUGAGUAAUUCAUAAGCAACCUACCCACGAAGACUGGGAUAAUCUCUGGAAACGGGGACUAAUACCGGAUAGGUAAUCGGAAGGCAUCUUCUGGUUAUUAAAGGUUAAAAACACUGGUGGAUGGGCUUAUGGCGCAUUAGUUAGUUGGUGAGGUAACGGCCCACCAAGACGAUGAUGCGUAGCCGGCCUGAGAGGGUGAACGGCCACAUUGGGACUGAGACACGGCCCAGACUCCUACGGGAGGCAGCAGUAGGGAAUUUUCGGCAAUGGGGGCAACCCUGACCGAGCAACGCCGCGUGAGUGAAGACGGCCUUCGGGUUGUAAAGCUCUGUUGUAAGGGAAGAACGGUAGAUAGAGAAUAUCUAAGUGACGGUACCUUACCAGAAAGCCACGGCUAACUACGUG
rnacentral:rRNA from 1 species